rnacentral:rRNA from 1 species
CAGUAGCCGCGGUAAUACGAGGGGGGCAAGCGUUGUUCGGAAUUAUUGGGCGUAAAGGGUGCGUAGGCGGUUCAGCAAGUCUCGUGUGAAAUCUUCGGGCUCAACCCGAAGUCUGCACGGGAAACUACUGGGCUUGAGUAAUGGAGAGGUGAGUGGAAUUUCCGGUGUAGCGGUGAAAUGCGUAGAUAUCGGAAGGAACACCUGUGGCGAAAGCGGCUCACUGGACAUUUACUGACGCUGAUGCACGAAAGCUAGGGGAGCAAACAGGAUUAGAUACCCCAGUAGUCCCUGUCUCUUAUAC